rnacentral:rRNA from 1 species
GACAGCAGUCAUGUCAAUCUGCGACUCACAAGUGGCAAACCGCUGGAGCUCAGCAGGUGUGAGCCUGGCCAGUACCUUGGAUGGGAGACCUCCUGGGAAACACUGAGGUUGCUGCUGGAA